GACGGACUGUGCAAGCGUUAUUCGGAAUCAUUGGGCUUAAAGCGCGUGUAGGCGGCCAAGUAAGUCUUAGGUGAAAUCCCAUCGGCUCAACCGUGGAAUUGCCUUGGAUACUGCUAGGCUCGAGGGAGCAAGGGGCUUGCGGAACCUAUGGUGGAGCGGUGAAAUGUGUUGAUAUCAUAGGGAACGCCGGUGGCGAAAGCGGCAAGCUAGGUCUCUUUUGACUUUCAGACGCGAAAGCUAGGGUAGCAAACGGG
rnacentral:rRNA from 1 species